rnacentral:tRNA from 1 species
UGGCUCAGUGGAAGAGCACUUGCCUUGCAUGCAUGAGGCCCUGGGUUCGAUUCCUCAG